rnacentral:rRNA from 1 species
GGAUCCAGACUUUGAUCCUGGCUCAGGACGAACGCUGGCGGCGCGCCUAACACAUGCAAGUCGAACGAGCGAGAGAGAGCUUGCUUUCUCGAGCGAGUGGCGAACGGGUGAGUAACGCGUGAGGAACCUGCCUCAAAGAGGGGGACAACAGUUGGAAACGACUGCUAAUACCGCAUAAGCCCACGGGUCGGCAUCGACCAGAGGGAAAAGGAGCAAUCCGCUUUGAGAUGGCCUCGCGUCCGAUUAGCUGGUUGGUGAGGUAACGGCCCACCAAGGCGACGAUCGGUAGCCGGACUGAGAGGUUGAACGGCCACAUAGGGACUGAGACACGGCCCAGACUCCUACGGGAGGCAGCAGUGGGGAAUAUUGCACAAUGGGGGAAACCCUGAUGCAGCGACGCCGCGUGGAGGAAGAAGGUCUUCGGAUUGUAAACUUCUGUUGUUGGGGAAGAUAAUGACGGUACCCAACAAGGAAGUGACGGCUAACUACGUGCCAGCAGCCGCGGUAAAACGUAGGUCACAAGCGUUGUCCGGAAUUACUGGGUGUAAAGGGAGCGCAGGCGGGAAGACAAGUUGGAAGUGAAAUCUAUGGGCUCAACCCAUAAACUGCUUUCAAAACUGUUUUUCUUGAGUAGUGCAGAGGUAGGCGGAAUUCCCGGUGUAGCGGUGGAAUGCGUAGAUAUCGGGAGGAACACCAGUGGCGAAGGCGGCCUACUGGGCACCAACUGACGCUGAGGCUCGAAAGUGUGGGUAGCAAACAGGAUUAGAUACCCUGGUAGUCCACACCGUAAACGAUGAUUACUAGGUGUUGGAGGAUUGACCCCUUCAGUGCCGCAGUUAACACAAUAAGUAAUCCACCUGGGGAGUACGACCGCAAGGUUGAAACUCAAAUGAAUUGACGG